UUAUGGCCAUAUCACAUUGAAACACCAGUUCUCAUAUAAUCAUUGAAAUUAAGCAACAUUGAACCUGAUUAGUCCCUAGAUAGGUGACUGCUUGAGAAUACCAGGUGCUGUAAG